UAAUAUGGAGAGUUUGAUCCUGGCUCAGGAUGAACGCUGGCGGCGUGCCUAAUACAUGCAAGUCGAGCGAACU
rnacentral:rRNA from 1 species